UCUGGCCUGCUGCCUGCUUUUGUAAAUAAAGUUUUAUUGGAACACAGCCACGCCUCUUCCUGUCCCCGGGGCUGGGACAGCUUUCAUGCUGCAGCGCCCGGCUGCGUGGUUACAGUGAGACCCUGGAUCUUUACAGGGAACGUUGGCCAACUGCUGCUGUCGAGGAGGACAGUUUAGUUCGUCCCCGAGUACCACCCUCCCCACAUGCCCCUCAAGCUCCCUGCACAGCCUGCGCUUUUGGCAGCACAUGGCGUGACUCAAAGUUUACGGGUCAACACCACGAUGAGAAAGGCAGGUCACUUUCUCCCACCACCUGAAACAGGCGACGACUGCCAGCCGGCCACCCACACUCCUGGCCACAGAGCCGUCCAGGCCCUGCCGCUCCGCUGCCGCCUGACCUCCGGUCCUGGAGGUGAGCUGCAGCCUUCCUGGUGUGCUGUCAUGUCAGGGCUAUGUGGUGGCCAGGCCCGUGCAGCCUGGAGUAGUCAGGCUGCUCUGAUCCCAUUUUACAGGAAGAGGUGGCAGGCGGGCCUCAGGCGGGGCCACGUCCUCCCCUCCCUGGG